rnacentral:rRNA from 1 species
CCUACGGGAGGCAGCAGUGAGGAAUAUUUGUCAAUGGACGAGAGUCUGAACCAGCCAAGUAGCGUGAAGGAUGACUGCCCUAUGGGUUGUAAACUUCUUUUAUAAAGGAAUAAAACGAGGCAAGUGUGCCUUUUUGCAUGUACUUUAUGAAUAAGGAUCGGCUAACUCCGUGCCAGCAGCCGCGGUAAUACGGAGGAUCCGAGCGUUAUCCGGAUGUAUUGGGUUUAAAGGGAGCGUAGAUGGGUUGUUAAGUCAGUUGUGAAAGUUUGCGGCGCAACCGUAAAAUUGCAAUUGAUACUGGCAGUCUUGAGUACAGUUGAGGUAGGCGGAAUUCGUGGUGUAGCGGUGAAAUGCUUAGAUAUCACGAAGAACCCCGAUUGCGAAGGCAGCUUACUAAACUGUGACUGACAUUGAUGCUCGAAAGUGUGGGUAUCAAACAGGAUUAGAUACCCCGGUAGUC